GACGAACGCUGGCGGCGUGCUUAGCACAUGCAAGUCGAACGGAAAGGCCCUGCUUUUGUGGGGUGCUCGAGUGGCGAACGGGUGAGUAACACGUGAGUAACCUGCCCUUGACUUUGGGAUAACUUCAGGAAACUGGGGCUAAUACCGGAUAGGAGCUCCUGCUGCAUGGUGGGGGUUGGAAAGUUUCGGCGGUUGGGGAUGGACUCGCGGCUUAUCAGCUUGUUGGUGGGGUAGUGGCUUACCAAGGCUUUGACGGGUAGCCGGCCUGAGAGGGUGACCGGCCACAUUGGGACUGAGAUACGGCCCAGACUCCUACGGGAGGCAGCAGUGGGGAAUAUUGCACAAUGGGCGGAAGCCUGAUGCAGCGACGCCGCGUGCGUGAUGACGGCCUUCGGGUUGUAAACCGCUUUCGCCUGUGACGAAGCGUGAGUGACGGUAAUGGGUAAAGAAGCACCGGCUAACUACGUG
rnacentral:rRNA from 1 species